GGUGGCGACCGGCGGACGGGUGCGUAACACGUAUCCAACCUGCCGAUGACUCGGGGAUAGCCUUUCGAAAGAAAGNUUAAUACCCGAUGGCAUAGUUCUUCCGCAUGGUGGAACUAUUAAAGAAUUUCGGUCAUCGAUGGGGAUGCGUUCCAUUAGGUUGUUGGCGGGGUAACGGCCCACCAAGACUACGAUGGAUAGGGGUUCUGAGAGGAAGGUCCCCCACCAUUGGGACUGAGACACGGCCCAGACUCCUACGGGAGGCAGCAUG
rnacentral:rRNA from 1 species